rnacentral:rRNA from 1 species
AUGAGUGCUCCUGCGUCCAGCCCACUCGAGUGUCUGUUGCAACAACUUAUCCAGCUGUGUACUAUGCCUAAUCAAGUUGAAAUCCAUCCACCAACUGAUGUCCAUACAAAAGGGAGAUACAAAAGAAUUAAGGAGCACUUAGACAAGGUUGGGCAUCAAAAUAAGGAUGGAGAAGGGAAGCAAAAUAAGGAUGGAGAGGGGAAGAAAAAUGUUGGUGGACAAAAAAAGAAAGUGCCUAGAACGUGCAAGAAUUGUCUUGUUCCAGCUCCAGGACGCAUUUCGGCACGACAACUUGGUGUUGAAGCUCAUGUGUUGGAUGGAUUUUACAUGAACUUUGUGCUUUAUAUUUCCUAG